rnacentral:rRNA from 1 species
UGGGGAAUCUUGCGCAAUGGCCUAACGGCUGACGCAGCGACGCCGCGUGAGGGAUGACGCUCUUCGGAGUGUAAACCUCUUUUGCCUGGAACGAACUAUCGGCAUUCGCCGAUUUGACGGUACCGGGUGAAUAAGCACCGGCUAACUCCGUGCCAGCAGCCGCGGUAAUACGGGGGGUGCGAGCGUUGUCCGGAAUCACUGGGCGUAAAGGGCGCGUAGGUGGCGUGAUAAGGGUGUGGUGAAAGCCCGGGGCUCAACCCCGGGUCGGCCAUGCCGACUGUCAGGCUCGAGUGCUGUAGGGGCAGGCGGAAUUCCGGGUGUAGCGGUGGAAUGCGUAGAGAUCCGGAGGAAGACCGGUGGCGAAGGCGGCCUGCUGGGCAGUUACUGACACUGAGGCGCGACAGCGUGGGGAGCAAAC